AGUGAACGCUGGCGGUAGGCCUAACACAUGCAAGUCGAACGGCAGCACAGUAAGAGCUUGCUCUUACGGGUGGCGAGUGGCGGACGGGUGCGGAAUACAUCGGAAUCUACUUUUUCGUGGGGGAUAACGUAGGGAAACUUACGCUAAUACCGCAUACGACCUACGGGUGAAAGCAGGGGAUCUUCGGACCCUGCGCGAUUGAAUGAGCCGAUGUCGGAUUAGCUAGUUGGCGGGGCAAAGGCCCACCAAGGCGACGAUCCGUAGCUGGUCUGAGAGGAUGAUCAGCCACACUGGAACUGAGACACGGUCCAGACUCCUACGGGAGGCAGCAGUGGGGAAUAUUGGACAAUGGGCGCAAGCCUGAUCCAGCCAUACCGCGUGGGUGAAGAAGGCCUUCGGGUUGUAAAGCCCUUUUGUUGGGAAAGAAAAGCAGCAGGUUAAUACCCCGCUGUUCUGACGGUACCCAAAGAAUAAGCACCGGCUAACUUCGUG
rnacentral:rRNA from 1 species